GAAAAAAAUGGGAUGGAGAUGGCUGGAAGCGGCACUUCCUCUGGGAAUUAUCGCCGGAAUGCUCUGUAUAAUGGGAAAUGCUCAAUAUCACAUCCACAAAGCCGCCCAUGGACGGCCGAAGCACAUCGGUAAUGAUAUGUGGGAUGUUGCCAUGGAACGGAGGGACAAGAAACUUGUGGAGAAUCUCUCCGCCACUUCUCAUAGUUAAUUUUUUCUCCCGACCUGCAUCCCCUGUCCUAGGUGCAGGAGUUGUGGCGGAUUCACUCUUGAUUAAGGAAUAAAAGCUUUUGUUGCAGAAUGCAGAUGUCUAUGCAAUGAUGAUCACUGCCAUGUAUUGUCGAUUUUCUUCAUUGUUCCUAUCAUGAUCUGAAC
rnacentral:misc_RNA from 1 species